UACGUAGGGGGCUAGCGUUGUCCGGAAUCAUUGGGCGUAAAGCGCGUGUAGGCGGUCCGGUAAGUCCGCUGUGAAAGUCGAGGGCUCAACCCUCGAAUGCCGGUGGAUACUGUCGGGCUAGAGUACGGAAGAGGCGAGUGGAAUUCUUGGUGUAGCGGUGAAAUGCGUAGAUAUCUGGAGGAACACCGGUGGCGAAGGCGGCAUCCUGGACCGAUAUUGACGCUGAGGCGCGAAAGCCAGGGGAGCAAACGGG
rnacentral:rRNA from 1 species